GUUCUUCAACUUUUUCAAGUCCAGGUAGUCAUACACAUCCCAAUAUCUCCUCUGUGUCUGCAGUGGCAGGACUCGGGCACAUUGAAGAGGAUUGGAAUGGGGAGCAUGCAUAAAGGACUCUAUUUUUUACGCACUUCCUCUCCACAAAUCAAUUCUGCCGUGGCUUCUUCAACUGUCUCCCAACGUUCCAUGCUUUGGCAUCAAAGAUUAGGGCAUCCUUCCCUUUCUGCCACUACCCUGUUACCUUCCCCUCAAUGUCAAGUUUUUGAUUUUUGUUCGGUGUGUCCUUUAGCCAAGAUGAAACGAAAACCCUUUGGGGUUAGUGUAACUAAAUCUGUAUCCCCUUUUGAUCUUGUUCAUGUUGACAUAUGGGGUCCUCAUUCUACUACUUCUAUAGAUGGUUAUAAAUAUUUUUUGACUAUUGUUGA